rnacentral:rRNA from 1 species
UACGGAGGGUGCGGGCGUUAUUCGGAAUCACUGGGCGUAAAGGGCGCGUAGGCGGUCUGGUAAGUCAGGGGUGAAAUCCCACGGCCCAACCGUGGAACUGCCUUUGAAGCUGCUGGGCUUGGAUCCUGGAGAGGGUGGCGGAAUUCCUGGUGUAGGAGUGAAAUCCGUAGAUAUCAGGAGGAACACCGGUGGCGAAGGCGGCCACCUGGACAGGUAUCGACGCUGAGGCGCGAAAGUGUGGGGAGCAAACAGG